UGGGGAAUAUUGGACAAUGGGCGAAAGCCUGAUCCAGCCAUGCCGCGUGUGUGAAGAAGGUCUUCGGAUCGUAAAGCACUCUAAGUUGGGAGGAAGGGUACUUACCUAAUACGUGAGUAUUUUGACGUUACCGACAGAAUAAGCACCGGCUAACUCUGUGCCAGCAGCCGCGGUAAUACAGAGGGUGCAAGCGUUAAUCGGAAUUACUGGGCGUAAAGCGCGCGGAGGUGGUUUGUUAAGUUGGAUGUGAAAGCCCCGGGCUCAACCUGGGAACUGCAUCCAAAACUGGCACGCUAGAGUAUGGUAGAGAGUGGUGUAAUUCCCUGUGUAGCGGUGAAAUGCGUCGAUAUAGGAAUGAACACCAGUGGCGAAGGCGACCACCUAGACUGAUACUGACACUGAGGUGCGAAAGCGUGGGAGCAAACA
rnacentral:rRNA from 1 species